GAAAAAAAAAAAAAGGAAUGGUGUCUUCGUGGAGAAUACAGUAUCAGAAAACAAAGAGUUCAUGUACGGAGAAAACCCUGCGUCACACAGAUACAUGGUUGGAAAAGGAAGGACCUGGCUGGCCCUCUGCAAGAUCUCUGGGCUUACAGUGAUCCUCUCUCAGCCUACACAUUAGGAACCACUGACUGAAUUCUGAAUCCAAUCCGGCAUCACUGUGUUUCUGGAUGGCAAAGUUGAAGAUUCUAGGAUCUUUAUGUUUUGUGUCUACAAUUGGCACCGACGGGUACCCCAGAGAGAAGGCAAAGGCCACUCCAGGAGUCCGCCAACUCUAUAAAGUGAAUGAUGAACACUGUGUGCACACUUUCCAUACGGAAACUCUAAUGGUGUCCUCCUUGCAGCCAAGAGAACAAAGUGGAAGUGAAAUAUUACUGUCCAUCUUGACACAAAUGAGGAAGUAGCCCCAGGACUACAAAACAGGAACUCCGGGGCCCAGAGAAGAGAGAGAAGAAAACUCACAAAUAGCCGUCAAUGAAAAGCAACGUCCUCACCCACUGACUUUUCCUAAAUAUUAAUGCUGCCGCUGUCUGCUGGAGGAAGGAGACGGUGGAGAGAAAUGUAAGGGAGAGAGUUUUCAAAAGAGAAUGUAUUUAUCAACAUCGUCACCACUGAAAUGUACAUGUUUAGCACCUGGUGUAUAGGACCGUGCUCCGCAGGCUAACAGAUAUUCCUGGACUCAAGUAUUAUUGAAUUUGCAAGCGUGAAAAUUUUACUCCUUGCGUUUUUGAAAUAUUUGAUAGUCAAAAGUGGAUGGAGACCAGGAAGGAGUGACAAAGAAAGCAGGAUGUGAACACUUCCAGGGAGAUGGGGUGACCCAUGCAGGAGCUUGUUUACAGGCGAAGAUUCAGUGACUCACAAUAGCACAUGGAGGAAACGAAGAGUCAAAGAGCAAUGGAAGGUACAGCCCGCCUCCCCGAAGGAAGGAGAAUCGCAGGGAUAAUGGCAUUGGAAAUAGAGGCACCAUACCUUGGGAACUGACAUCAUACUUUUCAGCAGAGAGCGAUUUAAUAUCAAGGGUGACCUUCUGUAGCAUCUCGAUCACUUGCACUUGGUCGGUGAAGUCAUGCAGCAUGGCUGUGCCACAGCCCCUCAGAUAUCUGCCACAUGUGGAGCACAUACUCCCCGUGGCGCAGGAGGAAUCGGUGGUCUAUCAGCAGCAGGUUCACGUAAUAGAGGAGCUGAGUUUUGCCUUUGGACUCGGAACUGGGAGUCUCUGCAGAGGUCUUGCCAGCCAGCACCGGAGCUUUGCUGCAGUAGAUCUGGAGGUUGAGUAGAGCCCCUCUGGGGCCAGUAUACAACUGUUGAAAAUACAGUGGCAAUCUGUGUGUCCCCCGGAACCAAAACUUCUGGGGUUGGAACAUAAAGAGAAGCUUUGACACCACUGGGAAAUGCUACUUGAAACAAAGAAAACCCAAAAACAUUGGGAAAUCCGAAGACCUCAAAGUUUUAUUUCUGUGAAAGCCUCUGGAUCACCGAUGAGCUAGCAGUCUGACGAAGUCAGGCCUCAGAAUUCCUUCCUUAGAUUGUCAAAGGACUAGGAACAGCAUGGCCUGAUGUGUCCACCAAGCAAGAAUGUGGGAGCAAGAAAAAAACUGGAUUCUCUUCUGUGUACUAAUGUGACUUCCUGAUUCUAUGGAAUACUACUGAUUGCAAAAAGUAAGGAACAAGUUGGAGCCAAGGGAUAGCAGAAAGGAAAAUGACCCCACAGAAGAGUGGCAGUGCAUAUAAGAUGAACAUUUAGGACGUGUGUGAUUAAUGAACAAAUAAAUGAAAGAAUGAAAGCAAGUUAAGACCAACCAAUAGGUGAGAAAAAGUCCAUCUGAAUACUUUCUGGUCACACUUUCAACUCAGAUCGCUACAAUUCUUCAGAAACAGGUAAGGGGUACCUGGGUGGCUCAGUCAGUUAAGUG